CCUUUCUCACGCCCGCGCACGGCGGAGCGCGCAGGCGUGAUCACACGGGCCUGGCUCCUGAAAGAGGCGGACGGACAGCGCGCUGCGGCGGUUUGGAGGCCUGGUGAACGCUGUGCGGGAUGGGCUUGGCGCUUGCAGCUCCUCCUGUCAGGGACAGGGUGGCAGGGUGAUGGCUGAAGGUGGAGCAUGCAGUUCAGUGAACCACAAACGAAAGGACUAGGAUUCACGUGGGGCAGAAGUGCUUUGUAAGUUCCUCUGAAAUUAAGCUUUUGGUAGGUGCAUUUCAAAGCAUCUGAAUUUGGGUCUGCACUGCCACAGGGGGUAGACUGUACAUCCUGCCACUUCUCCUGGAAACCAGAGGAAAGCAGUGUGAUGGGGCUACGGGAGGCUCAAGUCCAGGCUGAAGGCGCCACCGUCACUGGGACUGUACCCAGACAAGACCACCAGCAUUAUGGCAACUCUCUAGUGGCUUCCAUCCCAAACUCCUGUUGGUGCCCGACGCCGUGCCCGUUACCCAAGCUCAUGUCACGCGGUGGCAUUCCUUACCUGCCCCACUGGAUUUUCCCGAGUGUGCCCGGUUCUCUCCUGACUCUGACUGGAUAACUCUCACCUGCCCUACAGACCUCGGCUUAAUUACUACUUCUUCGGAUCCCUGGGUUUCUUCUUCCACCGCAGCCAGUACAGCACGCGCUACAGACUGAAAUCAUUUCCUGAUCCUGCUGGUUUCUACCGAUUUAUCCGGCAAUGGGAAGCAUGAGUCUUGUCAUUACUGCCAGGAACACUGUUACUACAGACCUCACGUCACUCUUUACCUGGUUCUGUGGGAAUGAAGGGAGACAACAGCAUGGAUGAAGCACGGACCCUGAGCCAGACUGCCCACUUCAAACUCUGGCUGCAUCCGUUACUAGCUGUAAUUGACGACGCUUGGCAAGUGACUUAACCCAUCAGUGCCUCAGACUCCUCGCCUGUAAAAUGGGGAUUUAAAAACAGCACUUAACUCACAGCGUUGUUAUGGAGAUAAAAUAAGUGACUUUUCAUAAAGCUCUUGGAGCAGUUUCUGGUAGAGAGUAAGCACUAUAUACAUAUGCGUGUUAAAUAACUUAUUUAUACUCAUAUUUCCUUUUUGGAGAGUUUUUUUUAAAAAGUUCUUCUAUCUUCAGGACUAUACGCUCUAGCUAGAACUUGAGGAUUUGGAAUACAGAUCGUCUACAUAACACACUUGAGACAUGUUGACUACUCCAUGUUGGGUACAGAGAGAUAAUACAGCUCUUCUGAGUAUUUUAGGUAUUUCACCUACAAAAUGGUAAUAUCUCUAGUCCUGUCUGCCUCACAGGAUUGCUCUGAAGAUAAAAUAAAGCAGUACAAGAAAGCGACCUGAAGAGUGUGACCAUGUUCUCAUGCGCUGUUGUGGACAUAAGGACACAUACACACUCUUACAAUAUUUCUAAGAUUUUGGGGAAGUAAUGUGGGGUAAUUUAACUAUGUCCCACAUUAAGAUUAGUUCACAAAAGAAAAAGGCCAGAUAUGCAGAUCAUUGAGAGCUUGAACUGAAAUCACAAAGUGUGUAUGUGAUUGGUAGUGUGAUGGCCGACCAACCUAAUGCAUUUUUGUGUUUAAUCAGAGAAAUUCUGCAUUAAAACACAAACAUGAAACCUAAAAUCGGUAGUACUUUCACUUCUGAGAAUGAUUCAGCCCAAUUUAGGGAUUUCAUUGUUUCUAGCAAUAUACCACACAAUCGAACUU